UGACUNGAGUGCAGAAGGGGAGAGUGGAAUUCCAUGUGUAGCGGUGAAAUGCGUAGAUAUAUGGAGGAACACCAGUGGCGAAAGCGGCUCUCUGGUCUGUCACUGACGCUGAGGCUCGAAAGCGUGGGUAGCGAACAGGAUUAGAUACCCUGGUAGUNCACGCCGUAAACGAUGAGUGCUAGGUGUUAGGCCCUUUCCGGGGCUUAGUGCCGGAGCUAACGCAAUAAGCACUCCGCCUGGGGAGUACGACCGCAAGGUUGAAACUCAAAGGAAUUGACGGGGGCCCACACAAGCGGUGGAGCAUGUGGUUUAAUUCGAAGCAACGCGAAGAACCUUACCAGGUCUUGACAUCCCGAUGCUAUUCUUAGAGAUAGGAAGUUACUUCGGUACAUCGGAGACAGGUGGUGCAUGGUUGUCGUCAGCUCGUGUCGUGAGAUGUUGGGUUAAGUCCCGCAACGAGCGCAACCCUUAUUAUUAGUUGCCAUCAUUAAGUUGGGCACUCUAGCGAGACUGCCGGUAAUAAACCGGAGGAAGGUGGGGAUGACGUCAAAUCAUCAUGCCCCUUAUGACCUGGGCUACACACGUGCUACAAUGGUCGGUACAACGAGUUGCGAGCCGGUGACGGCAAGCUAAUCUCUGAAAGCCGAUCUCAGUUCGGAUUGGAGGCUGCAACUCGCCUCCAUGAAGUCGGAAUCGCUAGUAAUCGCGGAUCAGCACGCCGCGGUGAAUACGUUCCCGGGCCUUGUACACANCGCCCGUCACACCACGAGAGUUUGUANCACCCGAA
rnacentral:rRNA from 1 species